GAUCAUGGCUCAGGAUGAACGCUAGCUACAGGCUUAACACAUGCAAGUCGAGGGGCAGCAUUCCAGUUUGCUUGCAAACUGGAGAUGGCGACCGGCGCACGGGUGAGUAACACGUAUCCAACCUGCCGAUAACUCGGGGAUAGCCUUUCGAAAGAAAGAUUAAUACCCGAUGGCAUAAUAGAACCGCAUGGUUUGAUUAUUAAAGAAUUUCGGUUAUCGAUGGGGAUGCGUUCCAUUAGG
rnacentral:rRNA from 1 species